rnacentral:rRNA from 1 species
GUGGGGAAUCUUGCACAAUGGACGAAAGUCUGAUGCAGCGACUCUGCGUGAAGGAUGAAGCCUUACGGGGUGUAAACUUCUUUUCUGGUGGAAGACGAAUGACGGUACACCAGGAAUAAGGGACGGCUAACUACGUGCCAGCAGCCGCGGUAAUACGUAGGUCCCGAGCGUUAUCCGGAGUUACUGGGCGUAAAGUGUCCGUAGCCUGAUAUAUAAGUCCGUUUUCAAAUAUCUCGGCUCAACCGAGAAAAGGGAAUGGAUACUGUAUAUCUGGAGGUCUUUGGGGGUUAGUGGAAUUUCCAGUGGAGCGGUGAAAUGCGUUGAUAUUGGAAGGAAUGCCAAAAGCGAAAGCAGCUAACUACAAAGAACCUGACGGUGAGGGACGAAAGCUUGGGGAGCAAACGGGAUUAGAUACCCCUGUAGUCC